AACCGAAAAUGCGCUUUUGGGCCAUUUUCGGCCGAAAAUUCGGUGCAUCCCUAAUUUGUACAGAUGUUCACUCAGUUAAACCUUGAUACAACCACAAAAACAACAAAUAAAGCAGCCAGAAACCUAAACUAUCUGACCCUGACUGACACUUUCUGACACGGGCCAACAGGUUCCAGCCUCCAUCAUCCUGUGUGUGACGCAGUGACGAUGAUGAACCAACUCACUCUAACCCCUAUGCUAAUGCUAUAUAAUAAUGCUCAGUACUGCAUUAACUAAUGCUAAGGUUAAGAAGGUGUGAUUAUAAUUCAUCUUUGAUCACCAUGGUUUCAUGGAAGACUUUGAGUCCCUUGAUUGCCUUGUGGAUGUACUCCCUAAAAAGCUUAUAGUCUUCAGGGGACUUGAGCCAUUUAGCUUCUAGUUCAGGGAUAAUCUCCAUCAUUGCUUCAAGUAGCUUCUUGACUUCCGCAA
ensembl:lncRNA